AUUGAACGCUGGCGGCAGGCUUAACACAUGCAAGUCGAACGGUAACUGGUCUUCGGAUGCUGACGAGUGGCGAACGGGUGAGUAAUACAUCGGAACGUGCCUAGUAGUGGGGGAUAACUACUCGAAAGAGUGGCUAAUACCGCAUGAGAUCUACGGAUGAAAGCAGGGGAUCGCAAGACCUUGUGCUACUAGAGCGGCCGAUGGCAGAUUAGGUAGUUGGUGGGAUAAAAGCUUACCAAGCCGACGAUCUGUAACUGGUCUGAGAGGACGAUCAGCCACACUGGGACUGAGACACGGCCCAGACUCCUACGGAGGCAGCAGUGGGGAAUUUUGGACAAUGGGCGAAAGCCUGAUCCAGCAAUGCCGCGUGCAGGAUGAAGGCCUUCGGGUUGUAAACUGCUUUUGUACGGAACGAAAAGCUCUGGGUUAAUACCCUGGGGUCAUGACGGUACCGUAAGAAUAAGCACCGGCUAACUACGUGCCAGCCGCCGCAGUAAGAC
rnacentral:rRNA from 1 species